rnacentral:rRNA from 1 species
AGAGUUUGAUUCUGGCUCAGGACGAACGCUGGCGGCAUGCCUAACACAUGCAAGUCGAACGGAAGUAGCAAUACUUUAGUGGCGAACGGGUGAGUAACACGUGAGCAACCUGCCCUAUACAACGGGAUAACACAGAGAAAUUUGUGCUAAUACGGUAUAAGACCACAGUAUCGCAUGAUACAGGGGUAAAAGAUUUAUCGGUAUAGGAUGGGCUCGCGACCCAUUAGCUAGUUGGUGAGGUAACGGCCCACCAAGGCAACGAUGGGUAGCCGACCUGAGAGGGUGAUCGGCCACACUGGGACUGAGACACGGCCCAGACUCCUACGGGAGGCAGCAGUGGGGAAUAUUGGGCAAUGGAGGCAACUCUUACCCAGCAAUGCCGCGUGAAUGAAGAAGGUCUUCGGAUUGUAAAGUUCUUUAAUUGGGGACGAAAAAAAUGACGGUACCCAAGGAAUAAGCCCCGGCUAACUACGUGCCAGCAGCCGCGGUAAUACGUAGGGGGCAAGCGUUGUUCGGAAUGACUGGGCGUAAAGGGUGUGUAGGCGGUGUAGCAAGUUAGAAGUGAAAUACCUAGAGCUUAACUCAGGUGCUGCUUCUAAAACUGCUAUACUUGAGUGCAGUAGAGGAAAGUGGAAUUCCUAGUGUAGCGGUGGAAUGCGUAGAUAUUAGGAGGAACAUCAGUGGCGAAGGCGACUUUCUGGACUGUAACUGACGCUGAGGCACGAAAGUGUGGGGAGCAAACAGGAUUAGAUACCCUGGUAGUCCACACUGUAAACGAUGGAUACUAGGUGUAGGAGGUAUCGACUCCUUCUGCGCCGAAGCUAACGCAUUAAGUAUCCCGCCUGGGGAGUACGGCCGCAAGGUUGAAACUCAAAGAAAUUGACGGGGACCCGCACAAGCAGCGGAGCAUGUGGUUUAAUUCGAAGCAACGCGAAGAACCUUACCAAGACUUGACAUCGUAUGACCGCCUAAGAGAUUAGGAAUUCCCUUCGGGGACAUAUAGACAGGUGGUGCAUGGUUGUCGUCAGCUCGUGUCGUGAGAUGUUGGGUUAAGUCCCGCAACGAGCGCAACCCUUAUAACUAGUUGCCAAUAUUAAGUUAGGAACUCUAGUUAGACUGCCGUGGAUAACACGGAGGAAGGUGGGGAUGACGUCAAAUCAUCAUGCCCCUUACGUCUUGGGCUACACACGUGCUACAAUGGCUAUUACAAAGAGCAGCGAGCUGGUAACAGUAAGCGAAUCUCAAAAAGAUAGUCUCAGUUCGGACUGUGGGCUGCAACCCGCCCACACGAAGUCGGAGUUGCUAGUAAUCCCGAAUCAGAAUGUCGGGGUGAAUGCGUUCUCGGGUCUUGUACACACCGCCCGUCACGCCAUGGGAGUUGGGAGUACCCAAAGUCGGUGAGUUAACCCGCAAGGGAGACAGCCGCCUAAGGUAAGACCAAUGACUGGGGUGAAGUCGUAACAAGGUAGCCGUAUCGGAAGGGGCGGCUG